GGCGCCGUGGACGGCUCGCCUUCCUUGAACGACGCAACCCCGUACAUGGUCAGGCAGAUGCUGAGGAUCACGACGAGGCCGGCGGCGGCCAGCGAUCCCGCAGCUCCGGCGAUCUCGGUGUUGCGGAGUGGCCCGGCCUUGACGAAGGGCCCCACGAGGAGGUAACCGUGGGCGAGGCCCACCUCGACGCCGCGAAGGAGCGGGCUCACGGCGGUCCGGUAGGCAGGGAGGUUGGACAAGUACCAGGCGAUCAGCGGACUGGAUGUCACCGGCGUCUCCAGGCUUCCGAUGAAGGGGUCGCCGUUGAUCGGCUGGAUCACUUGGUAAGUUGGCUGUGGCAAUUCAGAUAAGAGAAGUGAUGAAGGCGGGAAUCAUUCCUAAGCAAAAGAUCGACAUAUGUAGAAGACUUGUUUCUUGCCUUCUCCGCUUGGAUGGCUCUAACCGUGAGACAAAGCUUCUUCCUGGAGUGCAGGUCUCUUAGUGGUGUGGCCGACAGGCCUCUGGGGAUGACAAGACGCCUACUGCUCCUGCAGGAAAAGAGAAGGCUGCUCUUCAACUGGCUGGCCAUGGGAGGGGCAGAAGCCAGUGCCAUUGUCGUUCCUGCUGCAGUUCUCACUCGAG
rnacentral:lncRNA from 1 species